CAGAAGUAUAAUGCAGUAUUAACAUCACAUAAAUUGCAUUUGAUUACAGAUGUCUGAGCCAUUACGGACAGAACCGAUUCCUAUUUUACUCCCGAAUAAUAUAAAUACUGGUUCGUAUAACGGAUACGUAUUGUCGUUAACCCACCAUUUUUUACAUAAGGAAAUGCCUGUACCAAGUCAGGAAUAUGACCGUUGUUUUUCCAUUCGUUUGAUGUCUUCUUAUUUUCAUACGAGUCGGAGUUCCUUCAGACACUUGUCAAAAACAACAAGAUCAAAGAAGCCAGAUCAUUUAAUUUGACAUUUAGAUAUAUUGAUGAUGUUCUUUCCAUUAGCAAUCGAAAUUUUCUGAUUGGGUUCCAUUAGUUUAUCCUCCAGAACUAGAAAUUAAAGAAACAACAAACACGGCUUCCUCUGCCUCAUCUUUGGACGUUAAGUUAUACCUCAAAUUUGACAUAAGCGGAUAUCUCAGUACCAAAAUCUAUGACAAACGAGACUAACCUUUACUGUUUAGUCCAUUUUUGGUAAUAUACUUUUGGCGUGGCUUGAUACUUAUACCGGUACAUCCCGCCAGUUUGUUAUUGUGCUAUGGUCAAUUUUGUAUUCGUGUCUUGCUUUUUUGCUUAUAUACUUUGUCUAUAGAGUGUCUAUAUGCCAUUUUGUUUUUCUUUGUUGAAAAGUCAUUUAUUUGUAUAGUGAUUAAGAUUAUAUUACAAUGUUGAUUGCUGUA